rnacentral:rRNA from 1 species
AUUGAACGCUGGCGGCAGGCCUAACACAUGCAAGUCGAACGAGUGGCGGACGGGUGAGUAAUGUCUGGGAAACUGCCUGAUGGAGGGGGAUAACUACUGGAAACGGUAGCUAAUACCGCAUACCAUCAGAUGUGCCCAGAUGGGAUUAGCUAGUCGGUGGGGUAAAGGCUCACCAAGGCGACGAUCCCUAGCUGGUCUGAGAGGAUGACCAGCCACACUGGAACUGAGCCACGUUCCAGACUCCUACGGGAGGCAGCAGUGGGGAAUAUUGCACAAUGGGCGCAAGCCUGAUGCAGCCAUGCCGCGUGUAUGAGGAAGGCCUUCGGGUUGUAAGGUACUUUCAGCGGGGAGGCGUUACCCGCAGGAGAAGCACCGGGUAACUCCGUGCCAGCAGCCGCGGUAAUAC